rnacentral:rRNA from 1 species
ACUGCUCAGUAACACGUGGACAACCUGCCCUUAGGUUGGGUAUAAACCCGGGAAACUGGGUAUAAUACCCGAUAGGUCUCGAUUGCUGGAAUGCAUCGAGAUUUAAAGCUCCGGCGCCUAAGGAUGGGUCUGCGGCCUAUCAGGUAGUAGUGGGUGUAGCGUACCUACUAGCCUACGACGGGUACGGGUUGUGAGAGCAAGAGCCCGGAGAUGGAUUCUGAGACACGAAUCCAGGCCCUACGGGGUGCAGCAGGCGCGAAAACUUUACAAUGCUGGCAACAGCGAUAAGGGAACCUCGAGUGCCAGGUUACAAAUCUGGCUGUCGAGAUGCCUAAAAAGCAUUUCAUAGCAAGGGCCGGGCAAGACCGGUGCCAGCCGCCGCGGUAACACCGGCGGCUCGAGUGGUAACCGUUAUUAUUGGGUCUAAAGGGUCUGUAGCCGGCCGGAUAAGUCUCUUGAGAAAUCUGGCAGCUUAACUGUCAGGCUUUCAGGAGAUACUGUCUGGCUCGAGGCCGGGAGAGGUGAGAGGUACUUCAGGGGUAGGGGUGAAAUCUUGUAAUCCUCGAAGGACCACCAGUGGCGAAGGCGUCUCACCAGAACGGACCUGACGGCAAGGGACGAAAGCUAGGGGCACGAACCGGAUUAGAUACCCGGGUAGUCCUAGCCGUAAACGAUACUCGCUAGGUGUCGGCCACGGUGCGACCGUUGUCGGUGCCGUAGGGAAGCCGUGAAGCGAGCCACCUGGGAAGUACGGCCGCAAGGCUGAAACUUAAAGGAAUUGGCGGGGGAGCAC